rnacentral:rRNA from 1 species
CCUACGGGAGGCAGCAGUGAGGAAUUUUCCGCAAUGGGCGAAAGCCUGACGGAGCAAUGCCGCGUGGAGGAGGAAGGCCUGUGGGUCGUAAACUCCUUUUCUCAGAGAAGAAGUUCUGACGGUAUCUGAGGAAUAAGCAUCGGCUAACUCUGUGCCAGCAGCCGCGGUAAUACAGGGGAUGCAAGCGUUAUCCGGAAUUAUUGGGCGUAAAGCGUCCUGAGGUGGCUUACCCAGUCGACUGUGAAAACUCAAGGCUUAACCUUGAAACGGCAGUCGAAACUUGUAAGCUUGAGUACGGUAGGGGCAGAGGGAAUUCCCGGAGGAGAGGUGAAAUUCGUAGAUAUCGGGAGGAAGGCCAAAGGCGAAAGCACUCUGCUGGGCCGAUUACUGACACUGACAGACGAAAGCUAGGGGAGCGAAAGGGAUUAGAUACCCCUGUAGUCCUAGCCGUAAACGAUGGAUACUAAGUGUUGCGCGACUCAAAACGUGCAGUGCUGCAGCUAACGCGGUAAGUAUCCCGCCUGGGGAGUAUGCCCGCAAGGGGUGAAACUCAAAAGUAGUAGUACGGCGUGAGACGUACGCGAACCGAGACCACGACGGAGGUAGG